GCCGUUUGAAUUUUGACUUUGGGAAAUAAACAUAAUGUUUAUUAAAUUAUCUUUAAUUGUUAGGUAUUUUGCAACGUUAUGUCAAGUCGGAUUGUCCUUUCAUAGCCUGCUAUGUAAUAUAUGAUUUGUUCAUUGACAAAGGUUGUUUUGUGACACAUACAAUUGCUAAAGGUGUUAUAUACGUCGUGUAUUUGAUGGUAUUGGCAAUCGUAAGAAAUUAUGAGAAUUUUCAAGAACAAUCUAGUGACUAAUAAUCCAUUGCAUUCCUUUAAUAAUUUAAUAUUCAACUUCAUUCGUACAUUUGUAACAAUAAAUAGAUAAUAUUAAUGCCACUCUUCCAGAUUUAUACAGUUAAAUUAUGCAUACAAUAUUUAACAUUAUCAAAUAGAGCAUUACCAAAUUUUAAUGACACAUACACUAUUCAAGUAUAAGAAUUAAAAAUCCUUUUUAUCACAGAUAUACAUAUAAAUAAGAUCUUAUCAAAUAAACGGAAAAUGGAAAUUACAUAUAAAUUUUGGUGAUGUACAUAAACAAACAAAUGUAUGAAAAUGAAAACAAAAAUAUCACAGUU
rnacentral:lncRNA from 1 species